CACUUCUAAGGAAGGCAGCAGGCGCGCAAAUUACCCAAUCCUGACUCAGGGAGGUAGUGACAAGAAAUAACAAUAAACCGGCUUAUGCCGGUUUAAUUGGAAUGAGUACAAUUUAAACAUCUUAACGAGGAACAAUUGGAGGGCAAGUCUGGUGCCAGCAGCCGCGGUAAUUCCAGCUCCAAUAGCGUAUACUAAAGUUGUUGCAGUUAAAAAGCUCGUAGUUGGAUUUCUGUGGGGACGGAGCGGCCGGCCGCACCUCGCGGUUCGAGCUAGCGCUUUCCCUACAUCCUGCCGCGAACCGUGCUACCAUUAAUUUGGUGGCGCCGGGGAUCGGCUCGAUUACUUUGAGAAAAAUAGAGUGUUCAAAGCAGGCCACAUGCCUUGAAUAAGUUAGCAUGGAAUAAUAACUAAGGACUUCGGUUCUAUUUUGUUGGUGUUCGGGACUGAAGUAAUGAUUGAUAGGGACAGUUGGGGCGGUCUGUAUUCCAAAGCGAGAGGUGAAAUUCUUAGACCUUCGGAAGACAAACAGCUGCGAAAGCGUUCCGCAAGGAUGUUCCCUUUGAUCAAGAACGAAAGUUGGGGGAUCGAAGACGAUCAGAUACCGUCGUAGUCUCAACUAUAAACUAUACCAGCUAGGGAUCGGCCAACGUUAUUUCAAACCGACUUGGUCGGCACCUUAUGAGAAAUCAAAGCAUCUGGGUUCCGGGGGGAGUAUGGUCGCAAGGCUGAAACUUAAAGGAAUUGACGGAAGGGCACCACCAGCCGUGGAGCCUGUGGCUUAAUUUGACUCAACACGGGAAAACUUACCAGGUCCAGACAUAGUAAGGAUUGACAGAUUGAUAGCUCUUUCUUGAUUCUGUGGGUGGUGGUGCAUGGCCGUUCUUAGUUGGUGGAGUGAUUUGUCUGGUUAAUUCCGUUAACGAACGAGACCCCAGCCUGCUAAAUAGCGCGCGUGAGCUUUGCUCGCGGCGAGCUUCUUAGAGGGACUCUGAUGCGCGAUAGCACAUGGAAGUUUGGGGCAAUAACAGGUCUGUGAUGCCCUUAGAUGUUCUGGGCCGCACACGGGCUACACUGGCGCCUGCAACGAGCAUAUCAGCUGGCCCGAGAGGGUCUUGGCUAAUCUUUUGAACCGGCGCCGUGCUUGGGAUUGACCUUUGCAAUUGUUGGUCAUGCAACGAGGAAUGCCUUGUAAACGCGAGUCAUCAGCUCGCAUUGAAUACGUCCCUGCCCUUUGUACACACCGCCCGUCGCUCCUACCGAUGAAUGUUCCGAUGAAAUUUUCGGAGAGUGCCUGUGAACUUGGCUCUGCCUUGCGAACGGGAAGCUCAAAGUCACUUAAAUCUGAACAUUUCGAGG
rnacentral:rRNA from 1 species